rnacentral:rRNA from 1 species
GAUGAACGCUGGCGGCGUGCCUAAUACAUGCAAGUCGAGCGAACAGAUGAGGAGCUUGCUCCUCUGACGUUAGCCGCGGACGGGUGAGUAACACGUGGAUAUCCUACCUAUCAGACUGGGAUCACUUCGGGAAACCGGAGCUAAUACCGGAUAAUAUAUUGAACCGCAUGGUUCAAUAGUGAAAGACGGUUUUGCUGUCACUUAUAGAUGGAUCCGCGCCGCAUUAGCUAGUUGGUAAGGUAACGGCUUACCAAGGCAACGAUGCGUAGCCGACCUGAGAGGGUGAUCGCCCACACUGGAACUGGGACGCGGUCCAGACUCCUACGGGAGGCAGCAGUAGGGAAUCUGCCGCAAAAGGCGAAAGCCUGACGGAGCAACGCCGCGUGAGUGAUGAAGGUCUUCGGAGCGGAAAGCUCUGUUAUUGGGGAAAAACAAAUGUGUAAGUAACUAUGCACGUCUUGACGGUACCUAAUCAGAAAGCCACGGCUAACUACGUG